rnacentral:rRNA from 1 species
GAUGAACGCUGGCGGCGUGCUUAACACAUGCAAGUCGAACGAAGCACUUUAUUUGAUUUCCUUCGGGACUGAUUAUUUUGUGACUGAGUGGCGGACGGGUGAGUAACGCGUGGGUAACCUGCCUUGUACAGGGGGAUAACAGUUGGAAACGGCUGCUAAUACCGCAUAAGCGCACAGCAUCGCAUGAUGCAGUGUGAAAAACUCCGGUGGUAUAAGAUGGACCCGCGUUGGAUUAGCUAGUUGGUGAGGUAACAGCCCACCAAGGCGACGAUCCAUAGCCGACCUGAUAGGGUGACCGGCCACAUUGGGACUGAGACACGGCCCAAACUCCUACGGGAGGCAGCAGUGGGGAAUAUUGCACAAUGGGCGAAAGCCUGAUGCAGCGACGCCGCGUGAGCGAAGAAGUAUUUCGGUAUGUAAAGCUCUAUCAGCAGGGAAGAUAAUGACGUUACCUGACUAAGAAGCACCGGCUAAAUACGUG